CUUCGUUGAUGAGCUCCUGUUGAAGAUUUUAUUUGUAAAAGAAUAUGUUGUGCGCACGCCAAAACGACCGAUGUGGCAUUUUUUAUACCAUUUUACCAAAGUUUACCGUCCGCCGUCAAUCGCAGAGCAGCCCAGUAAAGCGACUGUAAUACACCUGAAACAUUAAAACACAGACUUCAUCACAUUGCUAUUUGUGACGAAACAGCGGGCAGGUGACUACUCAUAUACACUGACGGACAGCUGGCAUUUUGCAUGGAGUAUGUGUUAAAAUAAAAGAGAAACGGCAUGCAAAGAUGCGCGAACACAAGGAGAUCGGUGGCCAUCACAUCUUAGUGUACUGUGCGAAAUCAAAAGGGAAAACUGCAUUUCACGGGACACAGAUAUCUUCAUAAUAUGGGGACCUAUAUGAUGGGCAGAGGAAUUUAAAACGUUUUGCACGCCUACCUUUUCGUUUGAUGACCGUUUGCGUCAUAUUCAUCCCUUCGUUCAUUAUUCCGGCACCAGCAUAAUCUUCCUCUCGUUGUAACUUAAUGAGGGGUGAUGCAUGCCAAAAUUAAGACUCACAAUGCGGGCAAACUCAGUCGGCAUUAAGACUUGAAAGUCCUCAUUCGUGUACUAGUGUUGCCACGGAAACCAAUUCCCAUAAUGCACCUUACACAAAAUGGCGGCGCGUGAAGGGUAUAUUGAUGAGCCUGCCAACUUUGAAGCAGCCCGGUUGCUACAGGAAGCUGCAAGAAUUUUGAGAAGGGAAUCGGAAAGUCGAUCAACAACAUGUUCAGAAGAGUCAAAUAAUAGUUUAACUUCGAUACAAAGAGAACAAAAAACUCCUAGUGUGCUUGCACAAUCCACAGCUACAAGACAGGACCGAAUUCAAAGGAAUCUUGUCCAGCUUUUCCAACCAUAAGACCGUUCAAGGGGACAAAGAAACCAGUACCCCAAGAUCAAAAAGAAAAUUACUUAUGCAGCAGAAACCUUUUACACAUGUCUAGCAGAAAAAAACGUUAACACUGUGCCUGGUCCUGAAGGACGUCCUCUUUUGCAAAAUUGUGGCCUUAGUCGGAAAAGAAUAAUAUUUCCAGACAAAAAUGGAAGUUCUGAAGAGAUCACAGGUCAUUUGUUUUUUUAAGUUAUCCAACACUAAAAUCAGCAGGAGGGUUUGAAAUAUUGAGGAGCUUUAGGUGCAAAACGUUACACCCUAUUCCAAUACCAGCCAGUGGGCACAGUGUCAGAUUUCUUCGACCUGAAAGUGGCCUCAACCAAGCAGUGGCAUAUAUAAGACCACUUCAGGCUAACCUAGACACCAACAGUGGCUGUGAACAAGAGAUUCAAGAAGUGGCUUUAGAGAAAUGCCAGACAUGUGAACAAAUGAUUCCUCUGCAAUCAAUUCGUCAACACAUGAGACAGUGCACAAGAUUCCUAGAUGGGCUGCAUUCUUGUGGACUUCUUGAUGCAGUAAGGAGUCACCCAGCCAUAUUCAAGCCCAUUUUCACAAAUACCAACCUGAAGCUGACAGCGGAGAUGAUAGAACAGUUAUUUAAAGAAAAUCGUUUGUAGAGAAGGAGCAACUGAUAUGAAGUAGAAAAUGAAACCAUCAGCUAUUGGAGAGAUUAUCUACUGGAUACAGAGAGUAUGGUUUCUUCAUUAUUUUCAUAUGUUUCAUGGACAGCCAGGCUAGGGUUUAUAGAUAGGUUAUACACUAAAUAUCAGGGGUGUCAAACUCCAAUCCCAGAAGAUACACAGUGGGUGCAGGUUUUCACUCCAGGCACUUUCAUAAUUAGUAACGAGUAACCGCUGCAAAUUUAACUUAAUGAAUAUGCCUUAACUAUGACUGACUUGCCUAUUUUUUUUUUUCUUUUUUCUUAACCAGCAGCCACACAGUAAAGCGAUACAAAGCAAGCCAGCAGAUAACCAACUAAUUCAGGGUGUUACAAUCAGUCCUAGAAGGCCACCAUUUUAAUCAACCAACUUCCUAUUUAGCUGUUAAUGAAAAACUUUAACUGUAUGGCUCGUUAGUAUUCUCAUUCUGUCACACCAAUGAAGAUCCAAAUAUUUUGUGGACCAGAGCAGAUCGUUAUUUCUCAGAUCUUAAUAUUUAAUUUUCAGAUAUAUUAUUGAGACACACGGAGUCAUUCUAAUUAACAUUAUAAGGAACAUUUUACACUAAGCCUAAAAUCCAUAUGCCUUGUAUGGUGACACUAUAAAUUUAAAUCCACCCAAGGACUAUUAUACCCUUAAUUAGUGGAUUUCAACUGUUCUCCUUGACAUAUAGGAGGUGGUAAGUAUUAUUUAAAAAUGUCUCAUGUCUGCCCUCUUGACUAUUCACACACAAUCUACAUAAGUCAAACUUAUUAUGCACUGAGAGAAUGUAGCAUUUUAAUGGAUCUAUUUUUGUCCUCCCCAGUGGGAAUUUGUGGAGUAACACUUGAAAAAAUCCUUAUAUUUGCAACGGGAAGUGACUGUAUACCAGCACUAGGAUUUAGCCCAUGUCCCACUCUGGAGUUUCUUCAUGAUGACACCAAGUUCCCACAAGCAAACACUUGCUCUUGUACUUUACGAAUUCCAUGCAAGAGUUCCUACAACUCUUUCAAAGAGGACAUGAAAUUUGGGAUAAAAAAUUCUCCUGGGUUUGGUAUGGCCUAAUUUAUACCUUUUGGUAUAGAUGUUUAGGUAUAGAAGCCAUGUUUCAAAACAGGGAAGGCAUUUUAUAGUGUUUUGUUCUAGUGUUCAGUUUUUUCACUAAUUUUGUAUAUUUCCAAAAACAAUUUUGUACAUUAACUGAAUGCCUUCUGAUUCAAACUAACAUUUUUUUCUUUCUUUAUCACAGUUGUUUACAUUAGUAAUUCCAUUAUUUUAAAAAGAAUGCUUUAUUUUGUGUAUUUUACAUCAGUAAGUGAAUUUCAUAUUUUGACAUGUUAUAAAUUAGGAGAUUGGAAUAAAUAUUUUGUUUGUUGAAUUAAUUUUUUUGCCUUUAAUUGAUAUUUGAAUGUCACAAUUGAAUGUUACAACACUGACAGCUUAAAGAAAAAUAUCAACACCAAAACAGGUGCUCCCUCUCAGUGGAUUUAUGGUCUGUGACAGGGUAGCAACAGCAGUAUUUUGAAUUGAAAUUGAGGAUUCUGGAGUUUCUACUGUUGCAUGCAUUUCAUGAUGAGGAACUGGUCCAUCCCAAUCAAUUCCAUAUUCUGUGAAAUCCAUCUAAAAAAAAAUAGUAUAUGAAAAAGUAAUUGCACAGGGGGAUGACAUGACGCCUGUCUGUACAAAACAUUGUGCUCUUUGUAUGUUUUCUACAGUUAAAAAAGCACCAAUGUUUUAGUUUUACAUGCGAAGAACUUACCAGGUUUGAUCCUAACAUUUCAGUUGCAGUUGUGUGGUUAUUGUAAUUGGACAGAAGGCCUUGAAUCCAAAGUUGCUGUGGUGAUCUCAUUUGCUCUGAUGAAAGAGGAUGCCAAUCCCAACCCCUAGCAAACAUUUCAAGGUGCUGAUUGAGUCGUGGGAUCAUAACAUAGUGCAGGCAAAUGAGAUGAAGCUCAUUGUUGGGGUCCAGAGCUUGCAUUUCCUGGAGGUACUGGAAUGCUGAAUACCAAGUACUGGUAACUGUAAACCACAUAUCUCUCCAUAAAUGCUCGCUUCUAUGAUUGUGAACGCUUCUGCCUGCAAUAUGACUGCCUCUGUCUUAUAAAAAGAUUUAAGAUAAGCUACAGUGAAUUAAUUCAAGUUAACAUUACAAAGCCAUUUUAACACAACAAGCUGUAAAUGAAAACAUAAUUUAUAAUAAUUAAAGAAUGUUAAACUACCUGGACCACGAAGUGGGUGUGCUAGCUUAAAUCUCGCCACUCCAAUAUUUUCUAAACCUUUGUCUCUUUUGACACGAGAUGGCAAACCAAAUAUGUUCACAGCCUCA